UGCAAUGAGGAGUUGUACUAAGGUAGCGCGAUAAUUAGUCUCUUAAUUGGAGAAUGGUAUGAAUGAUUUGACGUGGAUUAACUGUCUUUAAAAAAUUAAUUGAAGUUUCCAUUUUGGUGAAAAGGCCAAAAUUUUUGUAAAAGACGAGAAGACCCUGUCGAGCUUAAUUAGAGUUUUUAACACUUUAGGUAUUAAUUAAUUGAAUUUUUAUUGGGGCAAUAAGCACUAAAAUAACAGUGUUGUUAUUUAUAAAGAUCCUCUUUGAGAGAAGUCAGCAGAAGCUACCGCAGGGAUAACAGCGUUAUCCUUUUUGGGAGAUCGAAUUGAGGAAAGGGUUUGCGACCUCGAUGUUUGGAUUAU
rnacentral:rRNA from 1 species